UUUUUUGCCUAAGCCCUGAGUAUUUUGCAUAGUAUAACAUAUUACCAGGCCCAACACCUAUAAAAUGGGAGGCUUCUGCCUGGGCCUUUCAACAGAGGGCCUUGUGACAUAUCUCUGCAUCAAUCACCUAGGAGCUGUGACUUUCUGUUAUUGCCUUUACUCUGCUCACAAGAAAAAUUACGAAUUAUCACUAGGCCCAGCUACCAGGUGAUGUGUCUCUCUUGCAUGGGUCUUGACUAUAGAAAGCGUUAUUAGCUAUUGCUGGGCUCAGCACCCAGGUGAUGUGACUCUGCUGCCUGUGUUUUGCUUUCAGGAGAAGGUUGUAACAUAUUCCUGGCUGAGUAUUAAAGUUAUGUGACACUCCUGUCUGAUCCCUGCCCUCAGUAAAGAUUGUGAUGUAUUCCUGGCCAAAAACCCAGGUGAUGUGACUCUCCUUCUCUCUGCCUAUUCACAGGUGGGAUUGUAAAAUAUAGUUUGGCCUAGCUCACAGGUGCAAUGGUGACUUUCAUACCUCUACCCACCUAACAGGAGAGAUGCUGUCUUUUGUAGCUAGGCCUAUGGUAAUGAUUAUAAUCCUGAGUCUCCCUUUUGUACAAAGUCAUAGGAAAUUACCAAUUUCUUGCAUACUAUAUAAAUCUCUUGUGGUACAGAGAGUGUCUUCCCAGGGUUCAGCACACAGGGAGAUUGUAGUUCUUAUGUGCAAUGUGCACAGCCCACCAGCUGUUGGGAUUGUCACCCUCACACUUGGAUAGAGCACACUGGUGAGGCCCUGAAUUUCACACAGACACAGUCCACAGUAGAAACUGUGAACUCUCAUAUGUGAACAUCCAGUCAGGGUUGAAAUGAUGACUGAUUUAUGAACCCAGUACAUUGGAAGGUGAGAAUUCUAUCUGAACCCAUGAAAAUUCUACCUGGGCUUAGGGCUAGAGUGAACACAGUUUACAGGAGGAAUGAAGGGUCUCAAGCUCCAAUCCAGUUCAUUGGUGAGGUUAUCACUACCUUACUUAGACCCAACAUAGAAAAUGUGGUGACUCUCAUACCUAGAACUGAGACCUGUGCAGGAUUGUUAAUUCACUACUGGACUUUCCUGCACGAGUGAUUAUUACAUAUGCCUAUGUUCAGCCCUGAGUGAUUUGAUUUUGCUGCAUGGUCCCAGUCUGAAGGUAAGAUUGUGAUUCAUCACUGGAUCCAGCACCUCGGUGAUUUGACUCUUCUUUUUUUGGGGACCCCACAAAUUUUAAGUAUUGUCAAUUUUGGCUGAAUCCUGCACCCAUGUUAUAUGACUCUCCCAAAUGUGCCUUACAUGUUGUGCCGUAUUGGGGCUCAAUAUAUCACAUUAGACAUUGUUACAUAUUGCUGGGUUCAACACCCAGGUGAUGUAACUUUUUUUUCUGGGACUGCCUGCAGGGGACCUUGUGACAUAACUCAAUGUCCAUCACCAUACUGACGUUACUCUCUUCUCCUGCCUGGUCUCUGCUCACAGAGAAAUUGUGACAGAUUACUGGCCUAGCAUCUAGGUGAUGUGACUCUCCUCUUUUUCUCAGGCUCUACACAUUUGGGUAUUGUGACAUAUUGCUGAACUCAACUCCUAAGGGAUGGGAGUCUCCUACUUGGGACCUUCCUACAGGGGACAUUGUGGCAUGUCUCUGCAUUCCUCACCUAGCAGAUGUGACUCUCCUCUUCUGCCUGCACCCUGCCUACAUGGAAAGUUGUGGCACAUUGCUGUUGUCAGCAACCAGAUGAUGUAAUUCUCCUGCCUGGGUCUUUAUUACAGGAAAGAUGAUUGACAUAUUACUGAGCCCAGCAUCCAGGUUUUGCCUUCAGGUGACAUUGUGUCAUAAUGCUGGUCCCUGCCCUGACAAUUUGUGACUCUUCUGCCUGUGAUUUGCCCAUUUGGGCCAUUGUGACAUGUUGCUGGAUUCAACACUCAGGUGAUGUAACUUUUAUGUCUGGGCCUUGCCUACAGGGUCAUUUUGAAAUGUCUCUGUGGCUGGGCGUUGUGGCUCAAACUUGUAAUCCCAGCACUUUGGGAGGAUGAGGCAGGUGGAUCAAAAGGUCAGGAUUCAAGACCAGCC
ensembl:lncRNA novel transcript